UACGUGAGGGGCAAGCGUUGUCCGGAAUCAUUGGGCGUAAAGCGCGUGUAGGCGGCUUGGUAAGUCCGCUCUGAAAGCCCGGGGCUCAACCCCGGGAGGCGGGUGGAUACUGUCAAGCUCGAGUCCGGAAGAGGCGAGUGGAAUUCCUGGUGUAGCGGUGAAAUGCGCAGAUAUCAGGAGGAACACCAAUGGCGAAGGCAGCUCGCUGGGACGUGACUGACGCUGAGACGCGAAAGCGUGGGGAGCAAACAGG
rnacentral:rRNA from 1 species